AGGUCUUCAGCUGCUGAGCACGACGCUUCUGGGCAUGCUUCAGGCGUUCAGUGGCACUCAGACGCCCGAUCGUGGCCAUCUCAGCCAGCAGCUCACCGUGAUCCGCUGCCAUGCCACCCCAACACUAUGAACUGUCAAGAUGAUAACUUUUAUGGUGCCAUGGAAAAAAGGCGAGAGAAAGAUGUCCAAAACAUCCAAGCUGUGGAUUGUAACCAACUGUCUGUCCUCCCAUCCAUAUCAACUGGCCAAUGAUGCACUGGGGGAAAGAGAGACAGAGAGAGAAAAGAUAGUACUAGAAAGGCAGAGUCAAACUACUCCCAAGGUUAAAUGCUCCACCUGAGCUUCUAAUCCGAAGUGGUGGUGGUGACUGUGUCCAAGACGUGGAUCCAACAGAGGGGCAAGUCUUUCAGAAUCCAUAGUGAGAAUAUGGUCGCAGUGAAUGACAAAUCCACAAGGUAGGAAGAACUGGAAAGUUUAAGCAAUGACAAUAUAAAGGGGCAUUAGCAGGUUU